rnacentral:rRNA from 1 species
CUGGCUCAGGAUGAACGCUGGCGGCGUGCCUAACACAUGCAAGUCGAGCGAUUCUCUUCGGAGAAGAGCGGCGGACGGGUGAGUAACGCGUGGGUAACCUGCCUCAUACACAUGGAUAACAUACCGAAAGGUAUGCUAAUACAGGAUAACAUAAGAGAUUCACAUGGAUUUCUUAUCAAAGCUCCGGCGGUAUGAGAUGGACCCGCGUCUGAUUAGCUAGUUGGUAAGGUAACGGCUUACCAAGGCGACGAUCAGUAGCCGACCUGAGAGGGUGAUCGGCCACAUUGGAACUGAGACACGGUCCAAACUCCUACGGGAGGCAGCAGUGGGGAAUAUUGCACAAUGGGCGAAAGCCUGAUGCCAGCAACGCCGCGUGAGUGAUGAAGGCCUUCGGGUCGUAAAACUCUGUCCUCAAGGAAGAUAAUGACGGUACUUGAGGAGGAAGCCCCGGCUAACUACGUGCCAGCCGCAGC